GGCGCGAGCAGGUGCGAAAGCAGGUCAUAGUGAUCCGGUGGUUCUGAAUGGAAGGGCCAUCGCUCAACGGAUAAAAGGUACUCCGGGGAUAACAGGCUGAUACCGCCCAAGAGUUCAUAUCGACGGCGGUGUUUGGCACCUCGAUGUCGGCUCAUCACAUCCUGGGGCUGAAGUAGGUCCCAAGGGUAUGGCUGUUCGCCAUUUAAAGUGGUACGCGAGCUGGGUUUAGACGUCGUGAGACAGUUCGGUCCCUAUCUGCCGUGGGCGCUGGAGAAUUGAGGGGGGGCUGCUCCUAGUACGAGAGGACCGGAGUGGACGCAUCACUGGUGUUCGGGUUGUCAUGCCAAUGGCACUGCCCGGUAGCUAAAUGCGGAAGAGAUAAGUGCUGAAAGCAUCUAAGCACGAAACUUGCCCCGAGAUGAGUUCUCCCUGAGACUUUAAGUCUCCUGAAGGAACGUUGAAGACGACGACGUUGAUAGGCCGGGUGUGUAAGCGCAGCGAUGCGUUGAGC
rnacentral:rRNA from 1 species